GAUGAAGAACGUAGCGAAAUGCGAUACGUAAUGUGAAUUGCAGAAUUCAGUGAAUCAUCGAGUCUUUGAACGCACAUUGCGCCCCCUGGUAUUCCGGGGGGCAUGCCUGUCCGAGCGUCAUUGCUGCCCUCAAGCACGGCUUGUGUGUUGGGCCUCCGUCCUCCUCCCGGGGGACGGGCCCGAAAGGCAGCGGCGGCACCGCGUCCGGUCCUCGAGCGUAUGGGGCUUCGUCACCCGCUCUUGUAGGCCNNGCCGGCGCUUGCCGACACAUCAAUCUUUUUUCCAGGUUGACCUCGGAUCAGGUAGGGAUACCCGCUGAACUUAAGCAUAUCAAUAAGCGGAGGA
rnacentral:misc_RNA from 1 species